GAUGAACCUCACUUGUGGGGGGAUUAGUGGCGAACGGGUGAGUAACACGUGAGUAACCUGCCCUUGACUCUGGGAUAAGCCUGGGAAACCGGGUCUAAUACUGGAUACGACCUUCUGGCGCAUGCCAUGUUGGUGGAAAGCUUUUGUGGUUUUGGAUGGACUCGCGGCCUAUCAGCUUGUUGGUGGGGUAAUGGCCUACCAAGGCGACGACGGGUAGCCGGCCUGAGAGGGUGACCGGCCACACUGGGACUGAGACACGGCCCAGACUCCUACGGGAGGCAGCAGUGGGGAAUAUUGCACAAUGGGCGCAAGCCUGAUGCAGCGACGCCGCGUGAGGGAUGAAGGCCUUCGGGUUGUAAACCUCUUUCAGUAGGGAAGAAGCCGGCCUUUGUGU
rnacentral:rRNA from 1 species